rnacentral:ncRNA from 1 species
AAACGGGCAUCGUAAGUCCUGGGAUCGUUGGGCCUCCGUAGGAGGCGCCCACUCCGGUUACGGACCGGUGGUUAUCGGCACCCAGGGAGGGCCCGUUU